rnacentral:rRNA from 1 species
GUCGAGCGGUAGAGAGAAGCUUGCUUCUCUUGAGAGCGGCGGACGGGUGAGUAAUGCCUAGGAAUCUGCCUGGUAGUGGGGGAUAACGUUCGGAAACGGACGCUAAUACCGCAUACGUCCUACGGGAGAAAGCAGGGGACCUUCGGGCCUUGCGCUAUCAGAUGAGCCUAGGUCGGAUUAGCUAGUUGGUGRGGUAAUGGCUCACCAAGGCGACGAUCCGUAACUGGUCUGAGAGGAUGAUCAGUCACACUGGAACUGAGACACGGUCCAGACUCCUACGGGAGGCAGCAGUGGGGAAUAUUGGACAAUGGGCGAAAGCCUGAUCCAGCCAUGCCGCGUGUGUGAAGAAGGUCUUCGGAUUGUAAAGCACUUUAAGUUGGGAGGAAGGKUUGUAGAUUAAUACUCUGCAAUUUUGACGUUACCGACAGAAUAAGCACCGGCUAACUCUGUGCCAGCAGCCGCGGUAAUACAGAGGGUGCAAGCGUUAAUCGGAAUUACUGGGCGUAAAGCGCGCGUAGGUGGUUUGUUAAGUUGGAUGUGAAAUCCCCGGGCUCAACCUGGGAACUGCAUUCAAAACUGACUGACUAGAGUAUGGUAGAGGGUG